UUUCAAGCUAAUCAAGCCGUGUGGAGAAGAAGACAAUCGCUGACUAGGUAAGCAAAUCAUCGACCAGAGCGUCAAGUGUGCACUCCGAGAGCGAAACAAGAUGGGUGGGGCUAAAGCUUAAGAGGGUGUGAAAGAUGCUGAAUGGUGUCGAAAAAGAAGAGUUCUUCACCAGAUACCAAAACAUUCAAAGGCCAUUUUUCUAAGUUGAUGAGAGAGAAACUACUUAAUCCAUUUUAGAAUAAGGCUGUAACGAAAUAUGCAAAAAGUCUGAAUACUUUCCGAGCCAGCACAUGGAGCCAGCACGUGGAGACUUGCAAGAUGAUGUGAUAAAGUCCAGACUGACAGACAGGAGAGAGGCCUGGCACUCAACAUAAAAUGUUUUACGGGACAACUUUUACUUGUAUUGUCUUUAUUAUUGAAUUGAAUGCUAUCAGUCAAGAUGGGGAGGGAGGAAGCCUGUGUAUUCUGCACUAAGUUCAGGGAACUCCUAUUGUAUCCAGGACAUGUCACAGGAAGGUAUGACCACUGCAUUGUUUGCCAAGGUAGGCCCAUUACCACCAGACAAAAUACCGUUAGGCACAGUAUCUGUAUCGGCAGGGAAUGACAAUGAAGGAUAAAAGGUUGACAUUGUUAUAUUAGCAGAACACUGCUUCUAUAGAAUAAACAAUCCUUUACAAAAUACUAUCAUGGACCUGUUACUACAUUUGAAAGUUAUCAAAACACUUAGUUUAGAAUAUCUACAUAAAUUAAUCAAUUGCAUUCUUUUCAUGUUACUCUGUAGGCUACUGACCUAUUUAACGCUUCCUCCGGCAUCUCACCGUACAUCUGCCUGUAGUUAUUGAACUCAAGCUGCAGGAAGUUUGUUUGUUGUGAUUGAGUGGGGGGAAACAGAGGCAAAUGCAGCAUCAUACAAUGCUUGUAGCUAUCUCCACUUAGGCUACUGAUAGUGGAUUGAGCAUAGUGCUCAACAUUGCCUGUGAAAGUGGGUUAAAAUAGCUAAUAUUCAAAAAUGUUAAACAAUAAGACAUGAUCACUUAAAGUAGGUAAUCAAAAAUAUGAAGUAGAUGUAAUGAAGAAUAAGAGUUUUGGAAUUGAUAAAUUAAGUUGGAUCCAAGCCAUUUUUUUUAGAUGCAGGACUUAUAGUGUUUGUGUCACGUCCUGACCAUAGUGAGGUCUUAUUUUCUAUGGUAGAGUAGGUCAGGGUGUGACUGUUUUUUUUAAAUUUAGUUCUAGUUUCUUUUUUCUAUGUUGGGAUUUUUGUAUGAUCCCCAAUUAGAGGCAGCUGGUCAUCGUUGUCUCUAAUUGGGGAUCAUAUUUAAGUAGUUUUUCCCACCUGUGUUUGUGGGAGAUUAUUUUGAGUUAGUGCAUGUUGCACCUCUUUCGUCACGGUUUGUGUUUU
rnacentral:lncRNA from 1 species